GGUCCUCAGGGUGCUUUUCGAAAAAAGUACAUCAUUUCACUUUGGGCAGGCAUGAGCGAAGCUUGAAGACUGCAGCCUGCUGCAGAAAGACUGAUACUCCCCCUUACAUCAUCCAGAACAAGUCUUGUCAGGUUUUCCAGUCCUAAGGCUGGGUAAGAGGCUGAUUCCAUUUACUCUGUUUACUUAAGGAAGAAGCUUCCUCGUUUUACAUAUGCGUGUGUUUAAAAAAGAAACUGACACACUGGCUAUCCAGAAUGUAUAGACAUUUGCCUUACAAGAAUGAAUAAAGAUAAAUACCAUGUGAACUGUUAGAUAUUGUUCUUGUUCUUUCUCCUUUGAAAUUGUCUUACAACUGUAAAUGCUUUACAGUAAUCCCUUUCCGGACGCGAGGGUUAAGAUCCCGAAAACCCUCUCGGUAGGUAAAUUUGCGAUGAGGACUUCGUGGAGAAACAGGGUUUAGGGGAACUGAAGUUGUGAAUGAACCCAUGAAAGUCCUUAAAUAUUCUUCUUUUCAGCUCCAAUAAAUGAUCACAUGGACCACUAAAGUAAAAUACAAAAAUAAAAUAGAUCUCAAAAACAGCAUUCUAUUAACGCCAUAUACUGUACAAAGAAUGAUAGAAAAAUGACUUAAAAAAUGUCUUAUCCAAAUAGCCCAGUUUAGUCAGCACUGAAGACCUGAUCAGGUAAACAGCCAUUUUCAUCAUCAGUUCGUCAGGAAACCUGGAUACCGGCUGCCAAUCUCCUGCAAACUUCACAAUUCAAAGACCGGAGCCCUUUUUUAAAGGUUAUCGAACUUCGCUGGCAAAAAGCUUUUCCGUUUCCCUGUCCUGGACUUUCCAUAUGAUUCUUGUAAAUUCUUUUAUCUUUAUUACAGAUUACAGAUUUUUAUUUGUACUCAGGGGCAAUGUUUUUCAAUGUUUUCGUUGUACUGGUCAAAGUACAAAUCUUCAAGAGAAGACAGAGUACACCUUUUGCAGGGCAACUCCACUGGAGCUAAAGGAAUGGAUUUUGGGGGUUCUGGGAAACAACACCAAUUACAGCAGAUGAGGAUUAAAAGAAGAAAGUAAAUGUGCUCAUUUGAUGGUCACAGAGGAACCGGAACCUAUCCUGGCAAGCAAUGCCCACAAGGCUGGAUUCAUCCAGGACAGGCAGCCAGUCUAUCACAGCACAUGCACACACACUCACCCCAAGGCCAGUUUUCCCAGAAACCAAUUAACCUCCCAGCAUGCCUGUGGACUG